UCACUGAAAACAGACUGUAUGGUCGCCACAACAUAGAACAUGAAUAAGAAACUCACCUUAACUUUGCGGCACAGAUUUAUUUUUCUCUUACAAGCCUCCUUUUAUUUUUUUUGUGCUACUUACAAUAAUUGUCAACCUAGACUAGUUAGAGGAGUGGGCUUGUGUAGCUUAAACAGAUUUUUUUUUCUUAAUCAAUUUUUUAAUUUGUAGCAGUGUUAGUUCACUUGGGGUUCCCAAGAGCCCAAGUAGAAGGCAGUUGGACUUUUAAAAUUUUUUUAAUGUGUUUCACCUCUGAUCCAAAAGGCUUCUUCAGAUCUGAAUAUGAUUGGAAGUAACAGGUGUAAAAUCAGAAUAAUCACACAAUAAUGACAAUGAUAUUAGUGACUUUGGUAGUUAAAAUCACUAAUGGAGCAAUUGGAAAAUGGGAGUGGAUGUUGGAAAAUUAAAUAUCAUCAUCUGGCAACAUCCUCUGUUUAAUGUCUGAAGCAUAUGUGCUUCAGAUCUACUCCAGCAUUCCACUCUGGUAAGACCAGAGUUGAUGAAAUACUGAAGGUCAAUAGAUUGAGUUGAUGUUUGAGUGUGGAAGGCUUCUUUUAUUUAGAACAAAAUACUAUUUUUUUUUCCAUAUAGAGAGGUAAGCUCAGACCUAUUCACACACCUUGCAAGUUUUUGUAUUUGAGGCCUAUUUCAUGAGUUUAUUUUUUAAGAUAAUUCUGUUGAAGUAUGUUUGAAUGUCUGACUUUUAUUUGUUUAUUUUCAUAGAAGUUUCAUUCAUUAUUACUCUUCCUUUGUCAGAUUCAAGUUAUUUCUGUGACCAUUGUGGGUUUUUCUUUCAUUAACCGAGGGGUACCUGUAAUUUUGUCCACAUGUAAAUCCCGCAAGGCCGACAUUUAUUGAUUUAUUGAUGCUCUGAAGGAACAAACUGAAGAAAGUAAUAAAAGUAACAUUUUUGAUAA